ACUGACAACAUCGACUUUGAAGUUGCACUGACCUGGCCAGCCCUGCCACUUACCAGGCUGUGGCUUGCCUUUUCACUUCUUGUGUCCUGUUUAAGAAAUAUCUGCUAUCCCAAGAUAACACUAACAAAGUUGACCUUAGAAUUGGAGUGCCUGGGUUAGAACCCUGCUGGUACCACCUGCUUACUGCAUGCUUCUGAUGUGAGUUCAGGAGAAGACACUGGCAAGGACAGCAAAGAACAGGAGAACACUCUAGCUUCCCUGAUAGCAUUCAAGGUGCUGUCCAAAGCUCUUGAGUUUCUGCUUUCAAGUGACCCUCAGAAAUUCCUCCAUUCACUGCAGAGGUUCUGUUUCUCCUUGCUUUGUUCUGACUUUACGGCAGAACUAAGCUAAUGAGUUAGUUACUAUGGGUUAUCACUUGGAUUUGAAGAACCAUCAUUUCUAGGCAUUGCUGCUCAGAGUGGGUCUGCCCUCAGGGGAAGCUGUCUAACCAGAGCCUAACCCACUAGGGUUUUAUCAGAACCUAACUGACCUGAGGAAAAGAAAUACUCAACUCCAGCAAGCUCCAGCCUUCCAAAUGGAGGAGGAGAAAACCCAACUCCAGCCCACUUCAGCUAUCUUGUCCCACAUAAAGGGGAAGUGGAAGAAACCUGAGAAGCAGGCAUGAAGUUCACAGUCCAGAGGUACAGACACAUCAGAGUUCAGUAUCUGAUGAAUUAGAUGCAAAAACCUCAACAAAGUAUUAGCAAAUUGAAUUCAACAAUGUAUGAAAAUUAUUACAUGCCAUGACUAAUUGGAAUUUAUCUCAGGUAUACAAGCCACGCUGAACAUCUGAAAAUCAAUUCAUGUGAUCCAUCACAUUAGCAGACUCAA
rnacentral:lncRNA from 1 species